GACGAACGCUGGCGGCGUGCUUAACACAUGCAAGUCGAACGGAAAGGCCCUGCUCUUGUGGGGUGCUCGAGUGGCGAACGGGUGAGUAACACGUGAGUAACCUGCCCUUGACUUUGGGAUAACUCCAGGAAACUGGGGCUAAUACCGGAUAGGAGCUCCUGCUGCGUGUGGGGGGUUGGAAAGUUUCGGCGGUUGGGGAUGGACUCGCGGCUUAUCAGCUUGUUGGGGGGGUAGUGGCUUACCAAGGCUUUGACGGGUAGCCGGCCUGAGAGGGUGACCGGCCACAUUGGGACUGAGAUACGGCCCAGACUCCUACGGGAGGCAGCAGUGGGGAAUAUUGCACAAUGGGCGGAAGCCUGAUGCAGCAACGCCGCGUGCGGGAUGACGGCCUUCGGGUUGUAAACCGCUUUCGCCUGUGACGAAGCGUGAGUGACGGUAAUGGGUAAAGAAGCACCGGCUAACUACGUG
rnacentral:rRNA from 1 species